rnacentral:rRNA from 1 species
UUCCAGACUCCUACGGGAGGCAGCAGUCGGGAAUAUUGCGCAAUGGAGGAAACUCUGACGCAGUGACGCCGCGUAUAGGAAGAAGGUUUUCGGAUUGUAAACUAUUGUCAUUAGGGAAGAUAAAAGACUGUACCUAAGGAGGAAGCCCCGGCUAACUACGUGCCAGCAGCCGCGGUAAUACGUAGGGGGCAAGCGUUAUCCGGAUUUACUGGGUGUAAAGGGAGCGUAGACGGCCAGACAAGUCUGAAGUGAAAAUCCAGCGCUUAACGUUGGAAGUGCUUUGGAAACUGCCGGGCUAGAGUGCAGGAGGGGCAGGCGGAAUUCCUAGUGUAGCGGUGAAAUGCGUAGAUAUUAGGAGGAACACCAGUGGCGAAGGCGGCCUGCUGGACUGCAACUGACGUUGAGGCUCGAAGGCGUGGGGAGCAAACAGGAUUAGAUACCCCGGUAAC